AUUUUAUGUGGUGCUGCAAAUUUAAGGUUGAGACAAUAUUGGACAACAUAUACGUAUAAACGCUAAAGGUACAGAUACUUAUUUUGGAGAGCCGCCACCUUAGGAUUCUACUCAACGGGUUGAAGUGCUCCAUUGUCUCAGAGCCUAAACUUUUGGUACUAAUUCUUAUAAUGUAUAUAUUUGUGUAUUUAGGGGUACGGCGGGGCCCUGUCCCGUCAUAUGCUAUUGUUAAUCCUCUUAGAGGUCUGUAGACACAUGAGUGGGUUGUAUGUAGAUGUUGUCUGGUGUACUAGUAUGGCUUAUGUUUUUGGACGUUUACAUUCGGAGUGGAAGCCUUGUCGGCUUACAUAUUC